GUUUCACGCUCUGCGGAAGGAAAGUCUGCAAUUGUCCCCGCGCUGGAGGAGAGCCAUGAGUCCAGUUUCUUCCCGGAACAGCCCUAACGCCUGGUCCCGCAGCCGUAAAUAAAGGAAGCUCACUGCCAUGUCUUGAGUAUACUCGAAUAACUCCGUGGAGAAGCCCAUUAGGCAGGGAAAAUGCCAUCCUGCCAACGGUCAUGUGACAGAGCUACUAGGAGACAAAACCUGCAGUGCCAACCAAGCCUUCAGAUGACUGCAGCUUCCUGAAAGACCCUGAGUUAGAACCACGAGGAUAACCCAUUCCCCACACCUUUACCUUGAAAACUACACAAUAUAAUAAAUGUUGGUUAAGCUGCUAAA